rnacentral:rRNA from 1 species
UACGAAGGGGGCUAGCGUUGCUCGGAAUCACUGGGCGUAAAGCGCACGUAGGCGGAUUGUUAAGUCAGGGGUGAAAUCCUGGAGCUCAACUCCAGAACUGCCUUUGAUACUGGCGAUCUUGAGUCCGGGAGAGGUGAGUGGAACUCCGAGUGUAGAGGUGAAAUUCGUAGAUAUCAAGCAGAACACCUGCGGCGAAGGCGGCCUUCUGGACGGUGACUGACGCUGAGACGCGAAAGCGUGGGGAGCAAACAGG